GCCUGGCUGGCUCAGUCGGUAGAGCAUGUGACUUUUCAUCUUGGGAUUGUGUGUUCGAGCCUCACGUUGGGUG
rnacentral:tRNA from 1 species